UUAUAAAUGGUUGAAUCAUGUAGUGUACUUUGUGUGUACUUGUUAAGUAAAACUCAAAGAAGUGCGAAGCUUCGUGGGCUCCACUGUUCCCGUACUGAAAGCUGGAUACCGGUUAUACACUGGAGAUAUGUGAGUUAUUUCUUCUGGUUGGAUUUAUUGUUCUUAUUAAUUGUACGAAGAAAUUUUUUUUAAUAAGUUUAUGCGGUAAAUAAGUAAAUUAAAAUUAAAAUACAUACAAUAGACUCAAAUCUUAAAUCUCCAAUCCGUUAAUAGGGAUUGUGGUCGACUAAACUAAUCGAGCUGUGUGUAAAUAGAGAUCCUUGAUGGAAGAGAUUUUGAAGAGGUCAUUCUAUCCAUUGGUAAAACAUGGAUAGGAUAUUGGAUAGAUUCGGAUGAGGUAGGUGAGGACUAUGUAAGGUUUUUCACCUGGCCAAAUUCGACGUUUUUAAAUGGGGUGGGAAUUUCUCCAGAUUUAAUAAGCAGGCGAACCUCCUCCUCUGUCAUGCUGGUUUUAGCUGCUAGAUCAACUUUGGCGGCUGCACUGUUGCACUGCUUCUUUUUCUCAAUUUCAACAGCCCAGCUGUAUAUUAUCAUGCCAAUGACAGCUAGGGCCAUUCCCAUUAUGUUUUUGAACGUCAUUUCGGAAUCAAAGAGAAGCCAACCAAGUAUAAGGACACAGACAGUUUUCAUAUGACCUAAUACUUGGAAUGAGACUGCAGAGAACCGGCCAAUGCACAUGUACUGGCUAAUAUUGCAGAAUACCGCUAGACAACAUGAAAGUAGUAUGAAGAUCUGCAUUGAAGUUAUGUCAAAACAUGAUCCACAAGAAAAUGAUUUUUUGCAACUUUCUUAUGAAAAUUGAAAACGACUUACAAUCGGUCCGUAUGUGAAUUUGUAGUUCAGUAUGAACUUUCCAUUUAGAUAGAAAUCUGUAAAUGGACCGAGAAUCAGAAGAGAGAAUGCUUGAAUUGGUGCUGUUCUGCUCAGUAGUUCAAAAGAUCCAACAGAGUAUUUUUUCUGCAAUGACCCAAUGGACUGAAGAGACAAUAAAACAUCAAUAAGUUAUUCAAAUCCAGGAAUAAGCUACCAUGGAAGUUAUUGUAAAGAUCAUCAUUUUGUCAGUAAAGAACAAAUAAGCUACCAUGGAAGUUGAAACUGGUCAGGAUAAGGUUUCAAAUUCAGCAGAACAUACAAUCAGUUGAUAGAAACUAUAGAACAACGAUAAUUUAUAGAUUCAUAAAGCAUGUAGAAUUUCUUUCAGUUAUUUAGAAUAAAUGUUUUUUUUAUUACAGACAAAUAAUUACAGUUCUUAAUUGUUUUACUCUUAUAGUCUUGUAGAUAGAUUUUCUUUAACAACAUUAAAAAAUGUGUGGAGCCUGAUGAGUAGGUAGUCAACAUACUCCCUGCCCAACAAUCCCAAGAUAUGUCCAACAACUACAAAUUGUAUCCCUUAUCCGGUGUAUUGUCCGGUCAGACUGUCUCAUCACCACCAAGACUGCCAUGUCAUCACUCAAAUCUCGCCAGGACUUGGGCUUGAUUAACAAUGCCCACCAAACCCACAUGCAAUCAAGGCUCUACCAUUCGAUUGAAAAUAUAUAUUAUCAUCAUAAAAAAAUUAUAAAUAGAUACCGAAACCUCCAACAAGAAUUCUACAACUAGAGUCUAGGAGCUCUCACUUUCACAACCCGUCCGCACUAACCUACUGGCUACUAGAGACAAGAACAGCAUGGGAAACCCCCACUCCACUGAUUACUCAAGGAGAUGGAAUUUAUUCAGGUCAAAUCUCAUUUUCAAUUGCCCAAACCCUUGGUCAACCAAUCAGAUAAGAAACUCUAACCCGUUGGGAAACUUUUUCGAUAAUUCGACUCUACAACCAGGGGUGGAUUACACUGAAGCCCUUGCUAGGGCCAUAGCCCAGGGUCAUUAGUGGAAGAGCAAAAUCUAUACACAUACUAAUUUAGAAAGAAAGAUAUAAAUUUAAAAUUAAGAUACUAAUUUAAAACACUUGUUUUGAUUUUUCAUUGUCAGCCUUAUCAUAUUAUUUUUUCCAAAACUGUUCUUUGGUUCAAUUUUUAGGGCUAUUCAGUAAAAAAAUGCCUCCGGGCUCAGGUGAGAGGGGAAACACCCCCAAAUUCAUUUGAAUCCUAGAUCCACCACUGUCUAAGACAGGACACUACUAUGGUGAUAUGGCUGCAUUUGAUCCGAACAUCAAUCAAUGUGCUAUUGUGCUUAGUGCAUACUAUUUUAUAAAGAAGCAGAUUCACUGUUAUGUCUAAUUCCAA
rnacentral:lncRNA from 1 species